rnacentral:rRNA from 1 species
UACGGAGGGGGGCUAGCGUUGUUCGGAAUUACUGGGCGUAAAGCGCGCGUAGGCGGCUUUGCAAGUUAGAGGUGAAAGCCCGGAGCUUAACUCCGGAACUGCCUUUAAAACUGCAUCGCUAGAAUCGUGGAGAGGUGAGUGGAAUUCCGAGUGUAGAGGUGAAAUUCGUAGAUAUUCGGAAGAACACCAGUGGCGAAGGCGACUCACUGGACACGUAUUGACGCUGAGGUGCGAAAGCGUGGGGAGCAAACAGG